AUGGAGCUUAAUGGCAUAUAAAAGAAGCAUAGAAGGGACAGUGUUAAAGGGUCCUCACCCUUCACACUACUCCUUUCAUAUGGAAAAGUUUUCUGUAUAACAGAAGAAAGGAAGAAGAGAAGCUAGCAAUGUUCAAAGGAGUAGAAGAGGCUUUUGGCUACAGCUUGGCAAACCGGCAAGUCAGAAAAAGGCAAUGGAUUCCAUUAGGAUCCACUUGCGAGUUGAGUUUUGGAGGAGAAUGAAAGGAAAUAGAAAAAUAGAAGACUUUAGAGUUAUCUCAUAGUAUAUUUUAUGGUUCUAAAACCUUCUAUUUCAUUUUAUUUCUCUCCAAAAUCUAACUCGCGAUUAAUCAUGUAUCACUUUAUUUUAAUUUUUCAUGUUGUAGAAAGUAAGGAUGAAAUAUACUAUUGUUUAUGUUUGGUGUGAGUUCUCUUUUCUGUGUGUUUUCUCUUCCCCAUUAGGAGUCCUUUUUUCGGGUCUGUUAUGACCUUACAAGCAAUAAAAUAAUAACAUGUUAGAUUUAUGUUUUAAAUGGAGGCUGUUGUUGUAAUUAUGAUUAUAUCAUUGUAACUUUGUAAGUGUGAUUAUUGUAGUACUAAUUACCUAGAGUUAAUAUUUUUUGUGAUUGAAGAUUUGUUUUUAAAUAUGGUAUGGUUUGAUAGAUCCCGAUGCAAUACUA